AUUGAACGCUGGCGGCAGGCCUAAUACAUGCAAGUCGAACGAGUGGCGGACGGGUGAGUAAUGUCUGGGAACCUGCCUGAUGGCGGGGGUUAACUCCUGGAAACGGUAGCUAAUCCCGCAUACCAUCAGAUGUGCCCAGAUGGGAUUAGCUUGUUGGUGGGUUAACGGCUCACCACGGCGACGAUCACUCGCUGGUCUGCGAGGAUGACCAGCCACACUGGAACUGAGACACGGUCCAGACUCCUACGGGAGGCAGCAGUGGGGAAUAUUGCACAAUGGGCGAAAGCCUGAUGCAGCCAUGCCGCGUGUAUGAAGAAGGCCUUCGGGUUGUAAAGUUCUGUCAGCGGGGAGGCGUUACCCACAGAAGAAGCACCGGCUAACUCCGUGCCAGCAGCCGCGGUAAUAC
rnacentral:rRNA from 1 species